rfam:Vibrio splendidus LGP32 chromosome 1
CAGCAGCUAGCCUGAACGGCUUGAUUCUCUCUAGAAUCAAUUGGUUUAGCUCCUGCGAUGUUGUGUUUGCAAACUCGUUCUUUUCGAGUUGGGUAGAGUUCUACCAAAUGUUUUGUUGCAGUUCUAUACUGAAACGAGGCAUGUACUUCCUGUAUUUAUUUUGACCUGUCUGUCAAAUUUGUUUACACCGCCUUAUGGGCGGUGUUUUUUUAU